AUCAAAAGGUGGUUCAAUUCCCAGUUUUCCAAGGAACCUCCAUAAGCAGUUUGUAAUAUUUUUAAUGUAGGUGUCACUUGUAACUUCCCUUGAAUAUUGUCUUUCCCCUUAGGUCUCUGAGUCUUGUCCUUCCUUCUAUCAGAGUUCAAACCACCGAUCUCCUAUAUGUUACAGGUGUAGGUGGGAGAAACAGGGAGAUUUUUAAAUCAGCCAAGUUUUUUUUUCUUAAAAUGGGCUUUUGUUAGAGUGAGUCUUUUAUGAUAUGACCUUUUUUGGGUCAGACACAGCCUUUUAUUUGGAAUAUUGGAAUUAUGGAAAGGUGAUUUUUGCUGUUUUGAUUUCAAAAUAUUACCUGACCUUUGGACCCUAUACCUAAUAAUAGUGGUGUUGUCAUUGUUUACCUGGAGUAAUUCUGUGAGUGUUUAGGAUUGAAUAUGAGAAUCAAAAGAUUUACAAAGAAAUUUGUAUUUAAAAUAUUCACGAAAUAAUUUAUGAGAACAUAGUCAGUUACUUGUACUACUAUCUUUACACUCAUCACAGCCAGGCUAAUUUUAAAAAAUAUUGCCUGAAUGUAUUUUCCCCUUCUCUAAAAACCUUAAAUGGUUUGUAAUUUCCUAAAAAAUAAAGUUUAGCUCUUUUGUAUAUAAUUCCUUGUAUUCUAGUAAUGCUACUCACUAGCCUGCUUUCUAUCUGUCUUUAACACUCUCCUCAUACCUUUUCCAAUUAAUUGAGCUCUGUCUUUCUCUGAAGUUCUAUAAAAGACCUUCCUUUCCCCGAAUUUUUCACUUCUCUGAGCUUGUGUAACUUUAAUUACCUUACAGUUUAUGCUUUUCUUUGUUGUUUUUGCUCCCCCUAUAGUAUAAAAUUCCAAAGAGAGAUCGAUGUUUUACUGUUUCUUUUUACUGUCCAUCAUUACAUGGGAUAUAGAAUGCAUGUGUUCAUAAAGAACUAAUAGCAAUAAUGAUGAGGAGGAGGAUUGUGGAUUAGUUUUUAUUGUCUCCUCAAAAACUUUUAAUUUGGCUCAGGUGUUGGACUGUCUGAGUAGGUUGAUUCACUUCUAAUUAUUACCAAAAAACUACCCUAUGCUAUUUGGCUGAUAGAAUAGCCUACUGGAGAGGAGAGUAAUCCUUAGACCUUUCAACUAAGAAUAGGUACUAAAGUCUUAUUGAUUAUAGUAAAAAUGCGUGGAGUAUUUUUGUAGUGAAACUGUUGGGGACCAGAAAUCCUUAGAAAGGGAAAAUGUAACCUCCUUCCAGUAUUGUAUCUAAUCCUGCCUGGAUUAUAGUUCUGAUCAUUCUCUACCCCCUGAUUCCAACUUCUGUACCAAACAUUUCCCAUAGGAGCCAGUUCCCAGCAUCAAGAAAUCCAGCAAUAAGGAAUUGUUCUAACAACAUAGGAAUAUUUUUGUCCAUAUAUUUUCUAAAGAGUUCAACGCUUUUAUUAACUUCAAAACUUCAAUGUUACUAUAGUUUGUAGAACAAAACAAGCAUAGCAUUGUUUUUCUGUAGCUCUCUAGAAUAUAAUAUGAUCAGGCAUAUGUGGAAUAUGGACCUCCUGGGUUUGCCAAGUCCUCUCUCUUCUGAAGGAAAAUGAUGACUCCUUCCUCUUCCUAUUUAACUCCUAUAGAGGAAACACGUUAUGAUAGAAAUGUGGGCUUUGAAGAUAAGCAGUCAAAUUCUAAUUCCUGUUCUUCUAACAGAGAAGCGUUGUUGAGAUUACUUAUCCUUAUAAUUAGCUAGAUUUCUUCAUUUUAAGAAAUUCUUUCCUCAGCGGGUUUAUUGUAAAGAAUAAAUGAGUUAAGUUCUAUGAAAGAAUCUUGCACAGUGCUUAUUAAGUUUUAAUAGUUUCUUCAUAUAUGUGGCUUCCCUCCCUAGGGUGGCCAGUUUGCCCCUGUUUAUCCAGGUUUUUCCCAGCUUUAAUACUGAAAAUCCCAUGUAUUCUAGGCACCUCCUUCUUCACUCUCUUCUCGCCUCUCUCUUUUGACAUUCCUAGGCUUAUUGGCCAUUCUUUGAAUACAGAGAAGUUUCAUUUUACAAAUUAGACUUUUAAGUAAACCUGAAUAGAGUUCCUUAAGUGAUGGUGCUUAUUUAUUUUAACCUUUCAAGAUGUAUUAGGAAUUUUUUUUGCAUUACUCAGUCACUUUGUUGGUUUAGCCAGUCAGACCCUUCAUUUAUUAGUUGGCCAAAUAUGAGGACAGGAAGACUUAUGAGUUAUUUGUGAAGUGGUGGAAUUAUUGAAGGUGAUAAUUUUGAUCUUUUACCCUGUUGGUGGGUUUAGACUACCUUAAAGAACCGUGGAUCAUAUAUUUAUAAGUUUCCAUCUUGCCCUAGACAUUUUAAAAUGAACUCUUCAUAUUAAAGCCAAUUUAUUCUAUAAUACUAGACCUUUUAAAUUGAAGUUUUUAUGACUUGUCAACAUGAAUGUAUAACAUGAUGAGUUACAAAAAUAAUUCUUUGGAAUGUUUAAGGGUUUUUUUCACUUUUAUUAAAAUAUUUAAGUACUCACAUGUCAGUUUAAUAAGCCUUGCUACCUUGUUUUCUAACAAGACAGUAAGUUACAAUUAUGAUUUCUUUAUAUUUUCUCUUUCUCACCAUCUUUCUUGUCCUUAAUUAUGUUUCCUUUUUAAUCAAAAAAAAUCAAAUAAAAAACAAAUAUGGUGUUUUUGUCAAUGUCAUGGCCUUAUGUCAAGAUAUUGAAAGGUAUCUCUCCAAAUUAUUGUUCUGCUAUAGUUACUUCUCUGAAAGAAGGCCUCUUGUAUAGCUAUUUGUUGAAUUGUGUACCUACUGAAUUAGUCAAAGCUCUAGCUAAAACCAUUUUUUUCUUUACCUCUCCCCUCCCCCUCAAACUUGCUUUUGUUAUGUAUUGGCUUGCUAAUCCUUGUGUUGAGCAGUAUCAGACAUCACCUUUCUUGGGGGCAGUUAGUCCACUCUUCCGCUUUCUUUGUCAAAGGGCUCCCUUAAUAGGAGAAGUCAACAGGGAGGACAAAAAGGAUUGAAAGUUGUAUUUAAUCAGGGUCAGAGAGGUGGUGUUCAGAGUGACGGGCCCACAGGCAGGCUGGCCUUUUAUGCUUGCCGACGCAGAUGGUCCCAGAGCAUUCAGCUAAGUGAAGAGAAAGCUGCCCAGUGAAAGCUAUUGUAGGGUAGCAUCGUUACAGUUGAGAAAGGUUGCCAGGGGUAACUAGAGAGUAUCACCAGUAUCGUGUGAUCACUAGGCUGUGCCAUUGAAAAUGUUAGACUGAGGAUUGUAUUGGGUCCCUUGGCAUCUUGAUGUUCAUAUGUAAGCAGUAUUAGCUUACAUUAGUGUUUUUAAUUUAAUUUUUUUCUGUUUUUCUCCCAUUGUUCUUGCCCUACCUUUAUUAGCAUAUAAAAUCUAGAUUUAUUUAUAUUCAUAAUUUUGUAAAAACCUCCUCCUAAAAGCAUACAAUUAUUUAAUAAUUUAUGUCUAUUGCAGGCUUUAUAGUUUUAUAAACUAUAUCAAAUUUUUGUGAAAUUUGUACUUAUGAAAAUGGAAUGUAAUAUUUCUUAUUUGAAGAGCCUGAAGUUGAUUUCCCAUUGCUUUGAAACUGCCUCAGUAUAUCCCAAGUUGAUGAGUUUUUUUCUGCAUCAUUAUAAAUAACUUAUAAAAAAAUUGGUAUUUAUCAGAAAGCAGUAUAUAACAUUGAGUGAAAAGUUGUUACAAAGAACUCCCAAAUAAUUAUAAAAUCUGUCUUUAAUUUUUUACCUAAGGCAAGAAUAAAAAAUAUGCAUCCCGAAUGAGCCAGAGCCAAGUAGCAUAACAAUCAUUGGUCUUAAUUUAAGAUACUUUGAAUAUGAUUUUAAUAGUAAGUUUUAGAAUUCUUUAAUUUCAGUCUUUCUCUUGUCAUUUGUGUAUUUUUUUUAAAAAAUUACUUGUGGUAUCAUACCAAAUGUAAACUCAACAGUCUUUUAAACCACUAGAGGAAAAUGCAGAGAUUUCUGAUUAGUGUAAAAGUGAAAUCUGAAGUGUAACUCACAUACAAGGUGAAGUGAUGAUAACCUUACAAAUAAUAGUUUUAAUUUAGAUUAUCAGUCAAUGUAAUUUAAGUUACCCUUAGCUAACUAGUGCUGAUUUUGACUUACUAUAUCAUACUCACCUAUUGGUAUAAUAGUGAAGACAACAUAAUACCAUAUUGGAAGAGCAACAUUGCUGUUUUGAGAGCUAAUAAUCAACGAUGGAAUUAUUUUGUGUUAAAAGUAACUUUAUUAGUGUGUUACAAGUGGAGUCAUACUUUUAGGUCUCUUAAGAUCCCCAUUUAAAAGAACAGACUGAAUUAAUUUCAGACUUUUUUUUACAGAAAAAUCUCAAAUUGAUAUUAAAAUGAGCUACUUGUUUCUUUCUACAUAUUGAAAAAUGGUUGAGUCAUUUUUAUUUUGGACAAUUCAUAACCACUUCCAUAAGUAAAACCAUUUAUCACAAAAAAGGAAUGAAUCUGGUGAAAUUGGAACAAACAUGCCGAUGUCUACAAUCACAGUGGCUUCUAAGAGGUCUGCAGAUAUGACAGCAGACAUUUCAUUGUAAUGUUCAACAUUUAUGUUAUUUUAAAUUAGAAUGUGACUUCCCUUAUUUUCUGAAAAAUAAAUAAAAGAAUAAUAACUA